CUACGGGGCGCACCAGUGAGGAAUAUUGCACAAUGGAGGAAACUCUGAUGCAGCAACGCCGCGUGGAGGAUGACGCAUUUCGGUGUGUAAACUCCUUUUAUAUGUCAAGAAAAUGACGGUAGCAUAUGAAUAAGCACCGGCUAACUCCGUGCCAGCUGCCGCGGUAAUACGGAGGGUGCAAGCGUUACUCGGAAUCACUGGGCGUAAAGGACGCGUAGGCGGGAUAUCAAGUCAGGUGUGAAAUCCUACAGCUUAACUGUAGAACUGCACUUGAAACUGGUAACCUAGAGUAUGGGAGGGGGAGAUGGAAUUAGUGGUGUAGGGGUAAAAUCCGUAGAUAUCACUAGGAAUACCUAAAGCGAAGGCGAUCUCCUGGAACAUAACUGACGCUAAGGCGUGAAAGCGUGGGGAGCAAACAGGAUUAGAUACCCUGGUAGUC
rnacentral:rRNA from 1 species